rnacentral:rRNA from 1 species
AACGAACGCUGGCGGCAGGCCUAACACAUGCAAGUCGAACGAUAAGCAUUCUUCGGAAUGUGGACAGUGGCGCACGGGUGAGUAACGCGUGGGAAUUUACUUCUUGGUACGGAAUAACAUUUGGAAACGAAUACUAAUACCGUAUGGUCCCUUCGGGGUAAAGAUUUAUCGCCAAGAAAUAAGCCCGCGUUGGAUUAGCUAGUUGGUGAGGUAAAAGCUCACCAAGGCGACGAUCCAUAGCUGGUUUGAGAGGAUGAUCAGCCACACUGGGACUGAGACACGGCCCAGACUCCUACGGGAGGCAGCAGUGGGGAAUAUUGGACAAUGGGGGCAACCCUGAUCCAGCCAUGCCGCGUGAGUGAUGAAGGCCUUCGGGUUGUAAAGCUCUUUCGCUAGUGAAGAUAAUGACUGUAACUAGAGAAGAAGCUCCGGCUAAC